rnacentral:sRNA from 1 species
AAAAUAAUAAUAAUUUCCCAUCAGAGUAACUAUGACAAUAUAGCAUCAUAUGGAACUGAUAAACAGAUCCAUAGCUUUCGAUAAAUAUCCUCAUUAGGAACAAAUUGCACAAAACUUUUUAACCG